AGUGAACGCUGGCGGUAGGCCUAACACAUGCAAGUCGAACGGCAGCACAGUAAGAGCUUGCUCUUACGGGUGGCGAGUGGCGGACGGGUGAGGAAUACAUCUGAAUCUACUUUUUCGUGGGGGAUAACGUAGGGAAACUUACGCUAAUACCGCAUACGACCUACGGGUGAAAGCAGGGGAUCUUCGGACCUUGCGCGAUUGAAUGAGCCGAUGUCGGAUUAGCUAGUUGGCGGGGUAAAGGCCCACCAAGGCGACGAUCCGUAGCUGGUCUGAGAGGAUGAACAGCCACACUGGAACUGAGAAACGGUCCAGACUCCUAGGGGAGGCAGCAGGGGGGAAUAGUGGACAAGGGGCGAAAGCCUUAUCCAGCCAUACCGCGGGGGGGAAGAAGGCCUUGGGGUUGUAAAGCCCUUUUGUGGGGAAAAAAAAGCAGCAGGUUAAUACCCCGCUGUUCUGACGGUACCCAAAGAAUAAGCACCGGCUAACUUCGU
rnacentral:rRNA from 1 species